rnacentral:misc_RNA from 1 species
UCUCCGUAGGUGAACCUGCGGAGGGAUCAUUACAGAGCUCAUGCCCUCCGGGUAGAUCUCCCACCCAUUGCUAUAACUACUCUCGUUGCUUUGGCGGGCCGCUGGGCCCUGCCCGGCCGCCGGCCCCGGCUGGCGCGUGCCCGCCAGAGACCUCACAAACUCUGAGUGUUAGUGUCGUCCGAGUAACUAUACAAUCGUUAAAACUUUCAACAACGGAUCUCUUGGUUCUG